CACGUAGGGCGCAAGCGUUGUCCGGAAUUAUUGGGCGUAAAGAGCUCGUAGGCGGUCUGUCGCGUCUGCUGUGAAAACUGGGGGCUCAACCCCCAGCCUGCAGUGGGUACGGGCAGACUAGAGUGCGGUAGGGGAGAUUGGAACUCCUGGUGUAGCGGUGGAAUGCGCAGAUAUCAGGAAGAACACCGAUGGCGAAGGCAGAUCUCUGGGCCGUAACUGACGCUGAGGAGCGAAAGCAUGGGGAGCGAACAGG
rnacentral:rRNA from 1 species